UUAUCACCAUUAUCAUCAACAUUAUCAUUUUUACCAAUAUCAUUAUUGUCAUUAUUAUUAGCAGUAUUACUACCGCUAUUUAUUUGCCGCUAUUAUUUAGUGUUAUUGAAACUUGCAUUUUCUCGACGUUUCUACCAACUUCCGCACAAACAUCGCAUUUUAUUUCGCACAUUUAAAUGAUAACGUUUGUUAUUAAAUAUUAUUGCACGGUCAUUUACGACAUCAUAUAAUUUUUACUCGGGUCUUUUUAUAAUUACAUAUUUCCGUAUUAGGUGAUAUUCUGGCACCCUUAGUACAUCGUUAAUCAAAAUCGGUCUCUUAUUCAAAUUUAGAAGUCAAACUAUUUCUUGCACUCGGUCCGCAUUUUGACUUACCGGACUCCAAAUUAAAGCCCGGUUGACUCCUGAUAAUUUUGGACUAGUCCAUAUCCCGUAUCUCAAUUUUUAGAAUAAUCAGUGUUUUAAUUUAUUAGCCUAUUCUUUUAUACCCAGUCCAAAAAAUGGAUCCGGUCCAAAAAGGGACCAGGUCCGGCCCAAUCUGUUUAAGGGAAACCCUUUAGGGUUUCCCCUUCUCAUUUUUCCUUCAUCCUCUUUCUCUCCGCCUCUUUUCCCCCUUUAUCCCCGAACCCUAGCCGCACACCUCUCCCUCUUUCAUCGCCAUCUCACCCCCCACCACCGCCGUUCUCUCCUUGUUCCCCGCUGUCCCCCACUUCACGUUGUCCCCCCGCUCAUCUCUCUCCUCACACCCUUUCUCUUUAGCAAACCCUAGUUGUUUCCUAUAAAUACUCGUUUCAAGUUUCAUUGAAAGGGGAAACACAGGAACCAUCGGGGGAGAACAGAAGGAAAAACAAAAUUCACUUACACACAAGAACAUAGAUCAGAAAAACCCAAAAAUCCCCCUAGAAAAUAUUAAGUUCGUAGCAGUUGAAUAUUCUUGAUAUCGAUUUAACAUACUAAAUCAGUUUUUUUUUUCUGUUUUAUUUCGCUCCCCUGGUAUUGCAUUGAAUCUGAGGUACGCAAACUCAGAUUCGGUAAGUUCGAGUGUAGAUCGGAGACCCGAAACCCACUUCGCUGCACUUGAAGAAGGUGACCAUGAGUCAACACAAUGCCUACCCGAGAUUCAGCAUGGUUUUGAGCGUCCCUUCCCAACUAACAGCAUGGUGGGUUGAUUUGGGGGAUUACGGACAGCGGGUUGUACGUGGAGCAUUGGGACACUUACCGUCUUUGAUGGAUAUCCAGCCCUGCAGAGACAUCAUCGAGGCUGCAAACCGUGUUUUGGGAUGAAAAUAGGGUCGUGUCUUCUCAUGAGACUAUCGAGCCACAGAUAAGAUUUUUACUUAAAAUAAAUUUUAUUCAAUAUAAGGUGAAUAUUAUUUAAUUUUUUUAACCUUUAUUUGGACCUCGAACAACAUCUCGUCCAUGAGACUACUUCAUAUUCUGCACCAGACCCAUCUCAGGAGCCUACGGACAGGCACCCAUCGAUACACAGAUUUGAUUAUUCAACAAACGUUAAUGUAUUCAAUAUAAAUAAGAAAUGGUAUUAAUUUUUAUAUAUUUUUCAGGUUCAUCCUUCGCCGCCUGCGGUGGUAAAUCCCGACGAGGAUGAGGUCGCGUUUCCAGACCCAGCUCAGCCUGCGAUUCUGAGCGUGCUAGCGGGACUAGAUCCCAAGAAGAAGCACGUUAUGCAGAAGGGCGCAAGGGCGAGGGAUGAUCACGGCUUAGAGCGCCCUCUUAUUAAGAGGAAAAGGGGGAUGAAGACGAUGGCGAGAGCAGUUGGGAUGGUAUGAAACUUAGGCCUAAGGAUAGUCUCAGGCAUACCACAUGUGGGACCCAUUAGUAUAUACAAUAGUGUUGUACAGUUUAAGUAAAUAUUAUAUAUUUUUUGCGUAUCUAUUUAUAUUUAUAAAUAUUAUCUUAGUCUUUA